rnacentral:rRNA from 1 species
GAGUUUGAUCCUGGCUCAGAACGAACGCUGGCGGCGUGCUUAACACAUGCAAGUCGAACGUGAUCCGGAGCUUGCUCCGGUGAAAGUGGCGCACGGGUGAGUAACGCGUGGAUAAUCUGCCCUGGUAUCUGGGAUAACAUCUCGAAAGGGGUGCUAAUACCGGAUAAGCCUACGGGAUCUUCGGAUCCUGCAGGAAAAGGAGGCCUCUAUUUAUAAGCUUCCGUAUCAUGAUGGGUCCGCGUACCAUUAGCUAGUUGGUGGGGUAAUGGCCUACCAAGGCGACGAUGGUUAGCUGGUCUGAGAGGAUGAUCAGCCACACUGGAACUGAGACACGGUCCAGACUCCUACGGGAGGCAGCAGUGGGGAAUUUUGCGCAAUGGGGGAAACCCUGACGCAGCAACGCCGCGUGAGUGAUGAAGGCUUUCGGGUCGUAAAGCUCUGUCAGAGGGGAAGAAAUGAAACGUGCUAAUAUCACGUYUUCUUGACGGUACCCUCAAAGGAAGCACCGGCUAACUCCGUGCCAGCAGCCGCGGUAAUACAAGGGCGMMY